AGAAUACACAUUUCAAAGGAGACUCGUGGGACAUCGUAUUGCCACGGGUGGCCAAUUAGAAAUGCGCCAAUAGCCGUGGUUGCGUUAGUAUGCGUGUGUGUCGCCGUUCAUUGACAAGGAGUGCGGGUUUUAUUCGUUCGAUGAAGUAUCGCGAAUGGUCACGCGAUUACCAUCUAAAAGUGUGGGAAACAGCAGGCGGAGUGUAAUGGCUGCGCGAAGAUGUAUUUGCAUCCUUCGUUAAAGAUUAUCCUGAUUGCUUGUUACAAUUUUAAUAUGUCUUUUUUGGAAUCGUAUUUGCGGGAAAAGAAAAUACAAAUUGGAAUAUUUGGAUAUUCAAGAUGGAUAAUCUGCAGGUCUGAUUCCAAAGAAGAAAAGCGGCUCGACAAAGAAGAAAAAGCGAUGGUUUAUCGGUGUCAAUGAGAUGCGCGCGGGCCAGAGUCCUGAUCCAAGGUUGUCCACCUGCUGCGCUAUCUAUCCGAUACAUAGUGUGUCCAACGCAAUGUGUCCACGCCCCGGCACGGGCGCAAUCGCGACUGCGCGUGCGACAGUCAGCCUCGAGUGAAGAGACAUCUUGUUUGGAUAAAGUCGUGGAAUCUUAGUGGAUGCGUGUCUCGCAACUCUGUAACAAUCGAUACGAAGAGGACAAAUCAGAUCCAGAACGCAACACGAGAUAAGGGAAAUCGAAUGUAAAGAAGGAAAAAAAACUUAUAAAUCAACUUGAGAUAUUUACGUAUCGUUAGCAUUAACGAUGUACUUGCCCACGUAUCGUUGCAUGCAUGUCAUUUAUUUUUGGAUGGAACAGUUAGGAAACAAGAUAACGAGAAACGACGGCGGUUUCACCUGUUCGAACGUUUCACACUGUUCACCUGUUGUUUUCGAUUCCGACCCGUCACGGGAUUAUUAAGGAUUUCGUGGACACGAGAGGGCGCAGCCAGCAAGAAGACCAAUUAAAUUUCGCCCGUCACGAAGCGAAUCCCUCGGUUAAAGAAGCUGCUUGCUUAGGGCCCCCUCGAGAAUAAUGUACCGCAUUCCAAAUGAGGAGAUUUACACAAUCGGGGCGGCGGCGGACCCUCGCCCGAAGCAACAAGUCUUUUUGCCGGAACCGUUCCAGUGAUCGUCUUUUCCUGCAUUUCUUUUUUGCCACCUGGAUCCACCGUCGCGGCAAUUAGGAAGUCCUGAUUUCUGAAUUACGUCCGCCGGCCGUUUUUUUAUCGGCCAGAUCGAAACAAUCGACUUCGACGAUCGCGGAAUGAAGAGGGCAUCGAGCGGAACGUAAUAAGAUUCAGAUACAGUUUGCUGCCUCGUGGACGUCCUCGUUCCGGUGUACAACAGCUAGAGGCCAUAAGGCCCCGGUGAUGCCCCGCGAUCGUUCCGACGCGUGUAUACGUGUAUAGCAGGGAGCGUUGUUGGAAUGAGCGCCGCGGGUCGUUUCCUCGGCGAUUUUUACUCGCGGCAAAUAAUAAAUUAUCGGCCGGCCGUGCGUAAUCGGGCUGGAAUAUAAUCUGCGCAUGGACAACCGUAUCGCGCUGCGGUAGCUACGGAGGCUCCCUCUUAGCCUACAAUCUGUCUUACAUAUUCAUUAUGGCUGCAGGCUGGGCAGGUAUUAUCUUAGAUGGUCGGUUUGGAACAACGUAUAGCUUGUAAUUUUCAGGGGGCCCCAUGGACUGCCCCUCUUUGCUCUUCCUCUUCGCCCCCCUCUUCCUCCCUCCCUUUUCUCCCACACCUAACUUCUAACCUCCCCGGCUUCUCAAUCUCGUCCCCUUUGUCCUUUUUUUUUCCACGUUCUAUUUAUGGAGAUGUAUAAAUUGUACAUACUGCUUACCUUUGGUACAUGCUUGGUACAAAGGUAUCGAGAAGUUUCCAAGAUGAGGUUAAAUCCGAUUGAAUUAAAAUAAAGCUUUCAAUUGUUGAUUAUGUUAUUAUUUAUUGGAAUAAGAUGCUUUUUCCCCCUUAUUCAUCCAAUCGAUUGUAACCAAAAUUACAAUUAAUGUUACACGCUUUGAUCUUGACUAGGUCGAACCGAUUCACCUGAUUCGAUUAAUCAAUAAUAACGCGAGACUUUUGUAAUUUGUGCAAUUUAACCAUACGAGUGAAAGGAAGAAUCCUUAAAAUAUUAAAAGUAUUAUAAGCUGGAACUAUAAAAGUAAUAUGAGAAAAGCAUAAGUGGCCAACUUCUUGAUGACGUGCAUAGGAAUUUCUCUUUUGCUUGAUCAAGCUAUACGCUUUUUCGUGUUGCGGUCACCGAUGUCAUUGAGCAAGUAGACUUAACGACCCGUGGAUUUCGUGCGUGAUUCAGCGUGUACACCUAUGCCACCAACACAUGAUAUCGACGGUUAACCGUAAUUGCCGACCCUGCGCCCGUCGUCUACCUGCUACUCGACGAUCCUGGUAUUCCCGGAACUCUGAGCGGCGCCUUCUCCGGAGAACAAUCACCGUCCACCGGUCUUGCGAUCGUAUUACCCGCGUCACGGUUACUCGUGACGCGCGCUUUGCAUUUAAGAGGCUGGUACCUCGCUUCCAGACCGCUUUGGAACGAUCGAGAGGACAUCUGGUGUUCUUAUUGGCGGUCAAGGAUCAUUUGCUCGUUUCUUGAAAUUAUUUCUGUUGUUGCAAAAAAUUGACGAUGGAUUUUAUUGACAAAUUAAUGUAAUUAGGAAGAGGGGAAUAAUUGUAAUGCAAUAUUAUUAUUUGGAAAUUUAUUUCGAUCGAAGCUACCUUCUUUGAAUUAGAUGAACAGUAUAUGGAGAACGGAGGUAAAGGAUGAAACGCUACGAUUGGCCCCUCCCUCCUUAAUAGCUUUGAACGGCUAAUUGAUUUCAGACGAUCUAUAAUCUGUACUAUAAUUAAACCCGAAGUUUCUGUUCAAGAUUAUUUCUCCGACUAUAAAUCAUGUCAAAUACGAUUCUUCUAAUCUAAUAUUAAUUGUUUUAAUCGUAUGCUUUUUAUUACGCACGUGACACUUUUCCCGUAUUCAUCUCCUUCUCGUUUCAAAAAAAUCGUUAUCUAUUAAUUAAAAAUAAAACUAAAUUGUCACAUUCGAAGACGCGUAACAACGCAACUAAUCUAAAACAUGGAUAAUUAUACUCAUCGGUACAAAGAUGACGACUCGAUCGAUAAUGUAGGCUUACCUCUGCUCGCGAGGAUUGUUCAGUGAUCUUUCGAGCGCGAAUUACGCUUCGAUUCCCGAUAGCGACAUCUCUUUUUCUUGACAUCUUGCAGCCGCUCGUGGCUCUUGCUGGGCGGUUACACGAGCAGACAGGAAGAGAAGGUGUGAAGAGAAAGGAAGACAGAGAAAGGGAGGAAAGAUCCGUGGCACAGAGAGCAGGUGGCACGUGAAGUGAAUGACUGGAGGGACGAUGGUGGUGGCUGCUGGUCCCGAGACGGAGAAGGGGAGAGAAGGUUUACCGUGAGUGAGGGAUACAGGCGGCAUCAGGAUCGAAGAAAAGGCAGGAUCGGGGAGACGGACUGGAGGAGGCGCAUUAGCAUUGUUUUGCAGCGGCGACGGCCUCUUACAAAUUUCCUAACAUGGAAUGUUGCCGGUACGAAACACCUUGC